UACGGAGGGUGCGAGCGUUGUCCGGAAUCAUUGGGCGUAAAGGGCGCGUAGGUGGCCCGGUCAGCGUGCGGUGAAAGCUCGGGGCUCAACCCCGAGUCGGCCGUGCGAACUGCUGGGCUGGAGCACUGUAGAGGCAGGCGGAAUUCCGGGUGUAGCGGUGGAAUGCGUAGAGAUCCGGAAGAACACCGAUGGCGAAGGCGGCCUGCUGGGCAGUGGCUGACACUGAGGCGCGACAGCGUGGGGAGCAAACAGG
rnacentral:rRNA from 1 species